rnacentral:rRNA from 1 species
GACGGGUAUCCGGCCUGAGAGGGUGAACGGACACACUGGAACUGAGACACGGUCCAGACUCCUACGGGAGGCAGCAGUAGGGAAUAUUGCUCAAUGGGGGAAACCCUGAAGCAGCAACGCCGCGUGGAGGAUGAAGGUUUUCGGAUUGUAAACUCCUUUUGUUAGAGGAGAUAAUGACGGUAUCUAACGAAUAAGCACCGGCUAACUCCGUGCCAGCAGCCGCGGUAAUACGGAGGGUGCAAGCGUUACUCGGAAUCACUGGGCGUAAAGAGCGCGUAGGCGGGAUGGCAAGUCAGAUGUGAAAUCCUAUGGCUUAACCAUAGAACUGCAUUUGAAACUGUUAUUCUA